rnacentral:rRNA from 1 species
CCUACGGGUGGCAGCAGUGAGGAAUAUUGGUCAAUGGCCGGAAGGCUGAACCAGCCAUGCCGCGUGAAGGUCAGUGCUCUCUGGGCGUUAAACUUCUUUUGUGCGGGAGCAAUAAUGGUCACGUGUGGCCAGACGAGAGUACCGUACGAAUAAGCAUCGGCCAACUUCGUGCCAGCAGCCGCGGUAAUACGGGGGAUGCAAGCGUUAUCCGGAUUUAUUGGGGUUAAAGGGUGCGUAGGCUGUGAGGUAAGUCAGCGGUGAAAUGCCCCCGCUCAACGGGGUGAAGUGCCAUUGAUACUGCCUUGCUGGAAUGCGGAUGACGUGUGAGGAAUGUGUGGUGUAGCGGUGAAAUGCAUAGAUAUCGCACAGAACACCGAUUGCGAAGGCAUCUCACGAAUCCGCGAUUGACGCUGAUGCACGAAAGCGUGGGUAUCAAACAGGAUUAGAUACCCUAGUAGUC